GGAAUCAUGCUGCUCUCAAGUGCUUAGGUGGUGCUCCUCCUGCUCAGGGAGCAGAGACGAUCCCAGCACCUUCACAGCACCAGACUCUCUUCUAACGCCUCCCCGGAGAAGAUGGCCACCCAGACCAUCCUGCUGCAACCGCUGCUGCUCUGGCUGCUCUGGCUGGUUGCCAUUCUGGCGCUUUGUGGACAGGGCGGGGAGGCUGAUGCUGACCAUGGGCUGCCAGCAUGCGGAGGGCUCGCUGCCCCAUGGUCCACCUGACCGUGGACUGCGCUGGGGAUUGGUACCACAGACAGGAUCUAUCCUCCAGAACGAGCUUCUGCCUGGUUCUUCCUGGGAACGUGCUACUUUGAUGAAGUAACGAUUCAGAGAGAGAUUGUAGCGAAUUGAAUUCUGGCAGCCCUUGUCCACAGUCCUGUACUGGGGGAAUAAGGUGGCUUUGAGCCACCCUUUGGGCUUUCUCCUCCGGAAGCUUCCUUCUCAUGUUCUGGCUGCGAGUUUUCGGCCAUUAAAUUGAGGGCGGUGAAUGUGAUGUUGACGUUUGUGCUCGGCAACCUGAACCUGCACA